GUGCUUACUUCAGCAUCAUAUAUACUCAAAUUGGAAUGACACAGAGAAAAUCAGCAUGGCCUCUGCACAAGGAUGAGAGGCAAAUUUGUGAAGCAUUUCUCUUCCUU